AGUUUGAUCAUGGCUCAGGAUGAACGCUAGCGGCAGGCUUAAUACAUGCAAGUCGAGGGGCAGCACGGUUAGCAAUAACUGGUGGCGACCGGCGCACGGGUGCGUAACACGUAUACAAUCUACCUUAAACAGGGGGAUAGCCUUUCGAAAGAGAGAUUAAUACCCCGUAAUAAAUUGAACGGCAUCGUUUGAUUUUGAAAGCUCCGGCGGUUUGAGAUGAGUAUGCGUCUGAUUAGCUAGUUGGUGAGGUAACGGCUCACCAAGGCGACGAUCAGUAGGGGUUCUGAGAGGACUAACCCCCACACUGGUACUGAGAUACGGACCAGACUCCUACGGGAGGCAGCAGUAAGGAAUAUUGGUCAAUGGAGGCAACUCUGAACCAGCCAUGCCGCGUGCAGGAUGACGGCCCUAUGGGUUGUAAACUGCUUUUAUACAAGAGAAAACCCUGGUACGUGUACCAGGUUGAUAGUAUUGUAAGAAUAAGCAUCGGCUAACUUCGUG
rnacentral:rRNA from 1 species